CUUUGAGACAAAGGUUACAUAAUACAGCGUUUGCUCUGUGCACGUAUUAGAGCCCUGUUUAACCUGCUGGCUGGGAAAGACUCGCCUCAAUCAGUAGGAAACUGCUAUCUGUCGGGAUAACAAACUAGGACUAAGGACUUCAGUAUGGAGGAUAUGUUAUGUGUAUGUAAUAAUUUGGAGGAACCACCUACUUCUGCUGUCUUCUUGGAAAGCUGCCAUUUCUCUCAGGUCGUCUUUGCAAACAUAGAGAAAUUCUAUGUUCCCGGAACAGAUAUAACUUGCUAUUACAACCUUUCCCAGCACUUCACACCUCGCAAGAAGGACUGGGUGGGCAUAUUCAGAGUGGGAUGGAAGACAACUCGUGAAUACUACACAUUCAUGUGGGCCCCUUUGCCCAGCAGCUCUGAGAGCAGCAGUGCUGAGCAACAGAAAGUGCUUUUUAAAGCCUACUACCUGCCAAAGGAUUAUGAGUAUUACCAGUUUUGCUAUGUUGAUCAAGAUGGGAAAAUCCGUGGGGCCAGUGUCCCCUUUCAGUUCCGUACUGAGGUUGAGGAUGACAUGCUGGUGGUUACUACGAAGGAGGAAGUGGAGGAAGUAGAGCAGCAAAAUGUAACUUUGCUUCAAGAAAACCAGAAACUGAAGAAGGACCUGGUAAGUCUCCAGGAACAGUACACGCAUCUACAGGAAGAACUAGUGGCAGCUAAGGCUCUUCAAAGUAGUGUGAAUACUUUAGAGAGCAGAUGUGAGAAACUGGAAUCCCAGAAGAAAGAUCUGGAAAAGGAGACGUGCGCCAUAAAGGCAGAACUGACAAGGAUCAAAGAAGAGAAAGAAUCCAUAUUAUCUGAGAAGGAACAGCUGGGAAAUCGGCUGAGAACCAUUUUGAGUCAAAUAGAAGAGCUUCAAUUACAAGUGCAGAGUCAACAGAAGGAAGUUGACAACCUGCAGAAGACAAUUAAAGACAAAGCAAGGCACCUGGAGCAGUUGAAGGAAGAGAAUUGUCAGUUAAGUGCCACCUUGCUUAGACAGCAAAUGUUGGACAAGAUCAAGGAGGAACAAACACUUGCACUUCAAAUCCUGAAGAAGGAAAAGGAUGAAAUAGAGCAAGAAAAUCAGAAAUUAUGGCAGGAGAAUGAAGAGUUGCGGGCACGCCUCCCUGAAAUAGGCAGUGCAUCUGCUGGAAUCCUAUCCCAGUCACCACCUAAUUCAGUGGGUUCCAAACUCCUGUUUGGAAAUCCAUAUUCUGGUGAGUGCCCUUGGACAUCCAUUUGGGAGCUUCAAAGUAGCAGCAAAAGUAUGUUAAUUGAUAUUCUGAUGCUCAGUUGUUUAAAAGCACAUCGCUGUACCCAUAGUUCCUGAUCUUGUGGUUAUAGAAAAUGCUACUUCUCCUUGUAGCAUUACAGAAAUGAACAAAUUGCUGUAGUGUUUUCAACAGUAUUCUCAUUGGGUUUUGGGGAGAGGGGUUAAAUAGCAGAAAAGUGAUGGAAAGAGUGGAGAGGCUGAUUGAUUGAAUGGCAUGUUUAUGCCGGUAAUUUUAUCACACAGCGAUCACAGGUGAGUUUAUUUGUCUAAAACUCUACAAAUGGGAGCUCAUUAUACUUCCCUCAGGAGGUAAUAGCAUUAUUGGGUUGCCAGCAUAAUAGAGCCCCUCUCCAGAAUAUGCAAGUGUUCCCAAGCAUACUUUUGAGUGCAUGUCUCCCCAGAUACAACUAUUUUGAUAUGCUAUUUGUCCACUGAUAAAUAUUUUAAGACCGGCAUUGGCAGAUUCUAUGAGUUGUGCACCCAAAUAAGAUGCAACAGAUUAUGUGUUGGCAGAUACUAUUAAAAUACACAAACUCUAGGAUUGGUUUCUGACACCACUGUUCACUACCACCACACAGUAUUUUAAAGUGUUACUGAUGCUAUAUAUUAACUAAUGUCAAAAACAUUUUAUUUUUCUUGCUAUGGUUUGUCUUACAGCAUCGCCAAAGAUUCUCAAGGUGGACCUGGUCUCCAUGAAGAAAUGUCCCAUGUGCCAGGAAGUCUUCCCUAAUGACAUUGGAGAACAACAGUAUUUGGAUCAUGUGCAAAAUCACAUUCUUGACUGUCCAUAUUGCAAUAAAACUUUCGACAGCUCCAACAAGCAAGUGUAUGAUGAUCAUGUGUUUUGCCAUCGCUUAGACCAAGCAUAAGCCUGCUUGUACCACCUAAGUUACUACAGCUAAUGCCUUUUUCUUUCUUUCCUUUUUUCCAUUUCUUUCUUUGUAUGAUCUGGCAGGGAUAGACACUUGAUAUGCUAAACCUGAUAUACCAGACUGAAACCUGCUGUUGGGCCUGCAGUACUGAUCACUUUAAUUUCUUCUGAUAACACAUCUGUUUAAUUAAAUAUGCACUGUACUUCUGCUUUGGAAGCAGGAAUUUCCAUAUUUAAAUCUUCUUAUAGGCUAUUUAAAAAUAAGAUGCUGCUUUCCUCUACCCUAAAUCUUCCAUUAAUAAUGAAUCAUGUUUGUAACAGGAAGCUAGAAAUUUCUAGCUAUAUCUAUAGUAAAGAAUAGAAAUGCUACCUUUUGCUUGCUUUGUAUCUAUUUUAUGCUAAAAGAGGAAUAAUUGCAAAGCAAACAGCAAGUAUGGUAGCAGCCCUAUCAGCAUCUACCUUUGUAUUGUUUAGGUGUAAGACUUAAAUCUAUGGUAUCCAUUAGGGCUGUUCAGUGCUUCUGAUUCAAAAGCAAAACAGUGUUUUAAAAAAUCUGAGGACACAUGUAGCACCUGUCUGCAAUUCUUCAGCUGCAGAGAAUGGCCAUGUGAUCCCAGGAAAAGAAAUAGUGGUAUUUAGGAUUUGCAAAUAUGUGGUUUGUAAGCAUCAGAGCCUGCCCAGAGUUGCUGGGAGUUAGGCAGUGUAUAAAUUUAAUAAAAUAAUAUUAUUCUCCCUCUGCACUCUGAAGUACUUUUUUUUUGGAAUUCAAAGUGCUUCAUAGCCCUGCUAUUAUCCCAUCUUGCAGCAACAACAACAAGCCUUUUUUAUGAACUGUGAGGGAGGAUAAUUUAAAACCUCACUGGCAGGCUCCUUUUUUCCAAGUGUUUCCCAGUAAAUGUUAAUUAUAAUAGGCUGCUGCCAAUCAGACUGAAUGUCCCGACACGCCCUCAGCCAUUUAAUUGGGGAAUUCUUGGUCCUCAAGAGUAUUCUUCCUUCAAUCCAGCUUUAGGAAAACACAGGAAGGUGCUUUGAAUCUUCUAGCCCAAAACUCAGAAAUAAGCUUGUGCAAAUCCUGAAACACAAGGGGGCAACUGUGUAACAUACAGUCUUGUAUGUGGGAAGGGUUUAAUGAGAAAUUCUAUUAAACCAAUGAUACCAAAUUUCAGGAUAUAAGAGUUCAUUACUGUGAAUGGUUGGAGAGAUCAUUUGGGAAUAAUAAUAGGAUGUUGCUAAGCAAGCCUUCCUUCCUUCUGCCUUUCAUUUGAGCGCUAUCCUCAGUUUUAUAGAAUGUGGAGGGUAACCAAGAAGCAGCCUGUUUAGGCAAAGCAACAGUUGCUCUUCCCAAUUAAAAAAAUGUUUCAUGUCAUCAGGGAGCUAGCUAACUAGCAUAUCAGAAAAUGAUCUGAAGGCUUGACCCAGUUUCUUAAGACUGUGACUGAGAAAGGCAUUAAUAAGUUUUCACCAGUUGUGUCACUGUAUAGAAAGGAUUAAACAAAAAAAGGCUUUUUUGGAAACAAAAGAUUAAUACUUUUCAAGACUUUCAACAUAGAGUCAAUUUAUUGGAUGCUUUAGAUUGCACUGUAGUGCCCUACCUCCAAAAAUAAGGAGUUGUCACAAUUGUAUAAUCAGAAUGCAGAAAUGUGCUGCUUUGUUGAAAUUUCUCUAAAUAUAUGGCUGCAUUGUCAAAAAGCCAUAUUCAUUAUAUAAUCAGGAUUACUGUACUAGAAAAGAUGUUUUUCUAGAAAAAAUUUUUCCUGAAACACAUUGGAAAUACAUUCUUUUUCUUGAAAAACCACUAUUUUACCUUUUAGUUUCUGUGAUAUUGACCAUGCACUUUCUCUUGUAUAAGACUGAAUGCUGUAAUAGAGAUCAGCUGCUUACCUACAGAUUUUAUACCACAUAUUGGUUAGCUAAAUGGUUAAUACUAUAUGUAGCAGAAACUAUUUUAGUAGCAUUUUUCUCUUCCAUGUUAUGUUUGUUGCUUUAAAAACUCUUGGGGAAACUGUUUUCCAGUGCAGAAAACUUAAAAUUUGUAAUGAUGGACUACUUACAGAUAACUAAAUAAAUUUUGGUUUAUCCUUUUUCAAGCACUUAUUGAUUACUUAUUGAAAAUAUAUCAAAUUCUUUUCAGAAUGGAGGGUGAUAUGUGCAUAUAAGUAUCUGAUAAAUCCUGUGAGGGUGUGGUGAAUAGUGAAUUCUAAAUAUUUACUUUCUAGCAGUGAAGUUAGUCUUCAUGAUUCUAAACUGAGGCCAUUUUUUCACCGUAAUAUGUCAGAUCAGAUAAUUAAGCAUACCAGAAAAACAAGUUUAGGCUAGUUUCCAGAGGACAAUCUGCCUGCACUCAGGAAUCAAUAAAAGACCCUGUCUUAUUGGUUGUAAAAGUAGUUUUCCUUUAUAUUUAUAUUUUCUUUAUGUAUUAUGUGGCAUAUGUUUCUUUUGAUGAAGCUCUGUAGCUACCUUUCAAGUUUAUUUUGGCCCUCUUCACACUUGGCUCACUGUUUUUACCAAAAUAAAAUGAUUGUCUGGACGCUCUCCAA